rnacentral:rRNA from 1 species
AACGAACGCUGGCGGCAUGCCUAACACAUGCAAGUCGAACGAGACCUUCGGGUCUAGUGGCGCACGGGUGCGUAACGCGUGGGAACCUGCCUUUAGGUUCGGAAUAACUCAGAGAAAUUUGAGCUAAUACCGGAUGAUGUCUUCGGACCAAAGAUUUAUCGCCUUUAGAUGGGCCCGCGUUGGUUUAGCUAGUUGGGGGGGUAAAGGCCUACCAAGGCGACGAUCCAUAGCUGGUCUGAGAGGAUGAUCAGCCACACUGGGACUGAGACACGGCCCAGACUCCUACGGGAGGCAGCAGUGGGGAAUGUUGGACAAUGGGCGAAAGCCUGAUCCAGCAAUGCCGCGUGAGUGAUGAAGGCCUUAGGGUUGUAAAGCUCUUUUACCUGGGAUGAUAAUGACAGUACCAGGAGAAUAAGCCCCGGCUAACUCCGUGCCAGCCGCCGCCGUAAAAC